rnacentral:rRNA from 1 species
CCUACGGGUGGCAGCAGUGGGGAAUAUUGGACAAUGGGCGAAAGCCUGAUCCAGCCAUGCCGCGUGUGUGAAGAAGGCCUUCGGGUUGUAAAGCACUUUCAGUGGGGAAGAAAGCCUUGGGGCUAAUACCCUCGAGGAAGGACAUCACCCACAGAAGAAGCACCGGCUAACUCCGUGCCAGCAGCCGCGGUAAUACGGAGGGUGCGAGCGUUAAUCGGAAUUACUGGGCGUAAAGCGCGCGUAGGCGGUCUGAUAAGCCGGUUGUGAAAGCCCCGGGCUCAACCUGGGAACGGCAUCCGGAACUGUCAAGCUAGAGUGCAGGAGAGGAAGGUAGAAUUCCCGGUGUAGCGGUGAAAUGCGUAGAGAGCGGGAGGAAUACCAGUGGCGAAGGCGGCCUUCUGGACUGACACUGACGCUGAGGUGCGAAAGCGUGGGUAGCAAACAGGAUUAGAUACCCCUGUAGUC